GGGCAUGUGGUGUAGUUGGUUAUCACGCUCGCUUAGCAUAAGACCAUUGUGUAAGGUUUGCGAGAGGGGUCCGGUUCAAUCCCGGACAUGUCCA